GUUUUAGCUCUGGGACAAAGACACGUUUCCAGGCGGGGGACUGUUCUUCUUUUAGCAGAUGUUCAUAAGGAAAACACUGCGGAAAGAACGAGAAGAAUGACGGAAAAACUCUGAAACGCGUUAUGUCUGAAUAUGACCUGUGAGAAGUCAUAUGUGCUGCUGACGCCACGGCCUGCGUCAUGCAUCUUCCAAACGGCCGACGAGAAGGACGAGCUCCCUGGAGUUGGGGACGAAAGUGUCCUGGAGAUGCUGAGUUACUCCAAGUUCUCAGACUUGGAAGCGUGGCUGUGUAUGCCCUCCUCUCUGCGUCUUCCUCGCUCCCUCGGCUCUUCCUCCUCCUCCUCCUCUUCAUCACAAACAUCAGUCAGAUCCUCCAGCUCUAUCUCUGGGUCUGGCUCUUCCGCGCUGCCCCUGAACACAUCACGGGCCUUAAACGCCUCACAGCGCUCCCUCUGCAGCCACAGUGGAGAUGGGGAAAGAUCUUCAGAGAAAGUGCACUCCUUCCUGAGCCCUACGCUGGUUCGAGACCCUCACUUCCUCUCCACUCCGGUCCUGACCUCCACGCCCCUGACCUCCGUGACCCCCAUGACCUCUGUGACCCCUGUUGUGACCUCUGACCCCUUGACCCAG
ensembl:lncRNA